rnacentral:tRNA from 1 species
AGAAGCGUUUAAACAAUUAGAGCUGCUAACUCAAAUAACUAAGAUUAAACCCUUAGGCUUCU